UACAGAGGUCUCAAGCGUUGUUCGGAUUCAUUGGGCGUAAAGGGCGUGUAGGCGGUUUGUUAAGUCAUGUGUGAAAUCCCUCGGCUCAACCGGGGAACGACGCAUGAAACUGGCAAGCUAGAGUACCAAAGAGGGGGGUGGAAUUCCCGGUGUAGCGGUGAAAUGCGUAGAUAUCAGGAGGAACACCGGUGGCGAAGGCGGGUCUCUGGGCCGAUACUGACGCUGAGGAGCGAAAGCGUGGGGAGCGAACAGG
rnacentral:rRNA from 1 species